rnacentral:rRNA from 1 species
UUCGGGAUAAGCCUGGGAAACUGGGUCUAAUACCGGAUAUGACCCUGGAAUGCAUGUUCUGGGGUGGAAAGAUUUAUCGGUGCGAGAUGGGCCCGCGGCCUAUCAGCUUGUUGGUGAGGUAACGGCUCACCAAGGCGACGACGGGUAGCCGACCUGAGAGGGUGACCGGCCACACUGGGACUGAGACACGGCCCAGACUCCUACGGGAGGCAGCAGUGGGGAAUAUUGCACAAUGGGCGCAAGCCUGAUGCAGCGACGCCGCGUGCGGGAUGACGGCCUUCGGGUUGUAAACCGCUUUUGACAGGGACGAAGCGCAAGUGACUGUACCUGUAGAAUAAGGACCGGCCAACUACGUGCCAGCAGCCGCGGUAAUACGUAGGGUCCGAGCGUUGUCCGGAAUUACUGGGCGUAAAGAGCUUGUAGGCGGUUCGUCGCGUCGUUUGUGAAAACUUGGGGCUCAACCUUAAGCUUGCAGGCGAUACGGGCGGACUAGAGUACUUCAGGGGAGACUGGAAUUCCUGGUGUAGCGGUGAAAUGCGCAGAUAUCAGGAGGAACACCGGUGGCGAAGGCGGGUCUCUGGGAAGUAACUGACGCUGAGAAGCGAAAGCAUGGGUAGCAAACAGGAUUAGAUACCCUGGUAGUCCAUGCCGUAAACGGUGGGUACUAGGUGUGGGGCUCCUUCCACGGACUCCGUGCCGUAGCUAACGCAUUAAGUACCCCGCCUGG